rnacentral:rRNA from 1 species
UACGAGGGGGGCAAGCGUUUGUUCGGAAUUAUUGGGCGUAAAGGGCGCGUAGGCGGUUUGACAAGUCUGAUGUGAAAUCUAUGGGCUCAACCCAUAGCCUGCAUUAGAAACUGUCGGGCUUGAGUAUGGGAGAGGUGAGUGGAAUUUCCGGUGUAGCGGUGAAAUGCGUAGAUAUCGGAAGGAACACCUGUGGCGAAAGCGGCUCACUGGACCAUAACUGACGCUGAGGCGCGAAAAGCUAGGGGAGCAAACAGGGAUUAA